rnacentral:rRNA from 1 species
AGUGAACGCUGGCGGUAGGCCUAACACAUGCAAGUCGAACGGCAGCACAGUAGGAGCUUGCUCUUACGGGUGGCGAGUGGCGGACGGGUGAGGAAUACAUCGGAAUCUACUUUUUCGUGGGGGAUAACGUAGGGAAACUUACGCUAGUACCGCAUACGACCUACGGGUGAAAGCAGGGGAUCUUCGGACCUUGCGCGAUUGAAUGAGCCGAUGUCGGAUUAGCUAGUUGGCGGGGUAAAGGCCCACCAAGGCGACGAUCCGUAGCUGGUCUGAGAGGAUGAUCAGCCACACUGGAACUGAGACACGGUCCAGACUCCUACGGGAGGCAGCAGUGGGGAAUAUUGGACAAUGGGCGCAAGCCUGAUCCAGCCAUACCGCGUGGGUGAAGAAGGCCUUCGGGUUGUAAAGCCCUUUUGUUGGGAAAGAAAAGCAGCAGGUUAAUACCCCGCUGUUCUGACGGUACCCAAAGAAUAAGCACCGGCUAACUUCGUG